CUGCAGACCGUUAUCCCUUUUUAGCCUGAUGUGACUCUGGAGGGAGUCUGUCUGCUAUAUCAGUGCUCAGAAUUCA
rnacentral:snoRNA from 1 species